rnacentral:rRNA from 1 species
AGAGUUUGAUCCUGGCUCAGGAUGAACGCUGGCGGCGUGCCUAAUACAUGCAAGUCGAACGCUUCACAUAUGUGAAGAGUGGCGAACGGGUGAGUAAUACAUAAGUAACCUGGCCUUUACAGGGGGAUAACUAUUGGAAACGAUAGCUAAGACCGCAUAGGUGUCAUAACCGCAUGGAGAUGAUAUGAAAUAUGCUACGGCAUAGGUAGAGGAUGGACUUAUGGCGCAUUAGCUAGUUGGAGGGGUAACGGCCCACCAAGGCGACGAUGCGUAGCCGACCUGAGAGGGUGACCGGCCACACUGGGACUGAGACACGGCCCAGACUCCUACGGGAGGCAGCAGUAGGGAAUUUUCGGCAAUGGGGGAAACCCUGACCGAGCAACGCCGCGUGAAGGAAGAAGUAAUUCGUUAUGUAAACUUCUGUCAUAGAGGAAGAACGGUGCGUGUAGGGAAUGACAUGCAAGUGACGGUACUCUAUAAGAAAGCCACGGCUAACUACGUGCCAGCAGCCGCGGUAAUACGUAGGUGGCGAGCGUUAUCCGGAAUUAUUGGGCGUAAAGAGGGAGCAGGCGGCACUAAGGGUCUGUGGUGAAAGAUCGAAGCUUAACUUCGGUAAGCCAUGGAAACCGUAGAGCUAGAGUGUGUGAGAGGAUCGUGGAAUUCCAUGUGUAGCGGUGAAAUGCGUAGAUAUAUGGAGGAACACCAGUGGCGAAGGCGACGAUCUGGCGCAUAACUGACGCUCAGUCCCGAAAGCGUGGGGAGCAAAUAGGAUUAGAUACCCUAGUAGUCCACGCCGUAAACG